UACAGAGGGGGCAAGCGUUAUUCGGAAUUAUUGGGCGUAAAGGGCGCGUAGGCGGCCUUUCAAGUGACGGGUGAAAUCCCCCGGCUUAACCGGGGAACUGCCUGUCAGACUGGGAGGCUUGAGACCGGGAGAGGUGAGUGGAAUUCCCAGUGUAGCGGUGAAAUGCGUAGAUAUUGGGAGGAACACCAGUGCGAAGGCGGCUCACUGGACCGGUACUGACGCUGAUGCGCGAAAGCGUGGGGAGCAAACGGG
rnacentral:rRNA from 1 species